UGGCUUGUAGCUCAAUGGUAAGAGCAGUUGCCUUAUACGCAAAAGGUUAGCAGUUCAAAUCUGCUCAAGCCAA
rnacentral:tRNA from 1 species